CGGGCCGGUCGCAGGUUCUCUCCGCGGCCUGAGUCGAGCCCGAGAAGGAAACGGAGGUCAGUGCGACGCCAGACACGGCGGAGAGAGGACGUGGGGGUAUUGUCGUGCUUUUUUUCGUACCUUGAAUUACAGUGUUCGCUGGAAUAAGGGAGAAAAGUGGCGAGCCCAUCAAGAUACAUAUUAAAAAAGGACAGAAAACUUGACAAGACAAUAAAGGCAAGACGCAAGCGAUAUCUACAAGACUGAGAGAUUGAUCCAAAAGAAAGAAGACGAGUGACUUUGGAA